ensembl:lncRNA
CCAUUCUCCCCCAAACUCCCCUCCCAUCCAAGCUGCCACAUGACACGGGGCAGAGGUCCCUGAGCUGUCUGGCAGGUCCUUGCUGGUUCUCCAGGUUAAACACAGCAGUGUGUCCAUGUCCAUCCCAAACUCCCUAACUAUCCCUUCCUCCAUCCUUCCCCCUGGUGACUAUAAGGUUAUUACAGAGGAUUGAGCAGAUGUUCCUGUGCUGGAUAGCAGGUCCUUGUUGGUUCUCCGUGUUAAAUGCAGCAGUGUGUCCAUGUCCAGCCCAAACUCCCUAACUAUUCCUUCCCCCAUCCUUCUACCCCGGCAGCCAUAUGUUCAUCUCUUAAGUCUGUGAGUCUGUUUCUGAAGACAGAACUUUAAACACAUUCCUCCUUUGCUGGCAGUCCAGCAUAGAAUCUGAACGGUCACCUUCAGAUGGUGAUCAUAGGGGUGUGCUUAGUCGCUCAGUCGUGUCCAACUCCUUGUGACCCCAUGGACUGUAGUCCACCAGGCUCCUCUGUCCAUGGGGAUUCUCCAGUGUUCUUGCCAGCAGAAUCCCAUGGACAGAGGAGCCUGGCAGGCUGCAGUCCAUGGGGUUGCAGAGAGUCAGACACAGCUGAAGUGACUUAGCAUGAAAAGAGACAAGAGGCCCAAGAAAUUACAUUUAUGUCAAGAUAUGACUUUUUCUUCCUCACAAGAUUAUUUCUGAGUUCAAAUUGCAAAACCGCAUGAUUGGAAACUUGAAGCACAUUGCAUUUCAAACCAUGUAAAUUAAAACUAAGAAUUCCUUCAGGAAGGGAAGCGUUGCUUUCCAUAUAGGUAUUGGCAGAUUGGCCGGUAAAUUUAAUAAAAAGCCAUUCAUCAUUUUAACAUUCGGGAAUGCUGCUUUAAAGGGCAUCCAAGAUAAAACUCCUGACUCAGAGGCAUGCCGAAUAUUGGAAUUAUAAAAUGUCACUUCUAGGAUCAAGAAUGUGAAUUGUAAGUGAAUGUGAUUUUUCAAGCGAAAGGGAUAUUUUCCAACGGACU